UACAUGGGGUGCAAACGUUGCUCGGAAUUAUUGGGCGUAAAGCGCACGUAGGCGGUCCGUUAAGUCAGAUGUGAAAGCCCCCGGCUCAACCGGGGAAGUGCAUCUGAAACUGGCGGGCUAGAGUACGAAAGAGGGUCGCGGAAUUCCCGGUGUAGAGGUGAAAUUCGUAGAUAUCGGGAGGAACACCGGUGGCGAAGGCAGCAAACUGGGCAUUAUCUGACGCUGAGGCGCGAAAGCGUGGGUAGCAAAACAGG
rnacentral:rRNA from 1 species